GGACGAACGCUGGCGGCGUGCCUAACACAUGCAAGUCGAGCGGAGAUAUUUUCUGGAAGUUUUCGGAUGGAAGGGGAAUAUUUUAGCGGCGGACGGGUGAGUAACGCGUGAGCGAUCUGCCUUACACAGGGGGAUAACGUGGGGAAACCCACACUAAUACCGCAUAAGACCACACAGUCGCAUGGCAGGGGGGUCAAAGGAGAGAUCCGGUGUAAGAUGAGCUCGCGUCCUAUUAGAUAGUUGGUGAGGUAACGGCCCACCAAGUCAACGAUGGGUAGCCGACCUGAGAGGGUGAUCGGCCACAUUGGAACUGAGAGACGGUCCAAACUCCUACGGGAGGCAGCAGUGGGGAAUAUUGGGCAAUGGGGGGAACCCUGACCCAGCAACGCCGCGUGAGGGAAGAAGGUUUUCGGAUUGUAAACCUCUGUCCUUGUUGAAGAGUUGAAGACGGUAGGCAAGGAGGAAGCCCCGGCUAACUACGUGCCAGCAGCCGCGGUAAUACGUAGGGGGCGAGCGUUGUCCGGAAUGAUUGGGCGUAAAGGGCGCGUAGGCGGCUGUUCAAGUCUGGAGUGAAAGUCCUAUUUUCAAGGUAGGAAUGCCUUUGGAAACUGAGCAGCUUGAGUGCAGGAGAGGUUAUCGGAAUUCCCGGUGUAGCGGUGAAAUGCGUAGAGAUCGGGAGGAACACCAGUGGCGAAGGCGGGUAACUGGACUGCAACUGACGCUGAGGCGCGAAAGUGUGGGGAGCAAACAGGAUUAGAUACCCUGGUAGUCCACACUGUAAACGAUGAAUGCUAGGUGUAGGGGGUAUCGACCCCUUCUGUGUCGGAGUUAACGCAAUAAGCAUUCCGCCUGGGGAGUACGGCCGCAAGGUUA
rnacentral:rRNA from 1 species